UACAGAGGCCUCGAGCGUUAAUCGGAAUCACUGGGCUUAAAGGGUACGUAGGCGGCGCUGCAAGUGCCUUGUGAAAUCCCAUCGCUUAACGAUGGAACUGCUCGGUAGACUGCAGUGCUUGAGGUUGGUAGGGGCUGCCGGAACUCUAGGUGGAGCGGUGAAAUGCGUAGAUAUCUAGAGGAACGCCCAAGGCGAAGGCAGGCAGCUGGGCCAAUUCUGACGCUGAGGCACGAAAGCGUGGGGAGCAAACGGG
rnacentral:rRNA from 1 species